GGGGGUGAAAGGCUUCGACCCAGAUAAGCAUGACAAGGGUGGCAUGUAGAGGUCGUCAGGAGGCCUCUUAAAACACCUGACAAAUAUCAAAUGCUGAAACUCUAAACGUUCCGGCAUCAGUAGAUCAGCUUCUUGCAACCAUGCAAGUGGUUAAAGGCGCUGCUCCACUGGCAAGCGUUGCUCUCUAAAUAGAGCAACCCGUCUUCUGAUCCAGCCUGUGGGGUUAGAAAGACGUCAUUAACAGGAUAGUCUCGAUUUUUUUCAGUCCUUGGGGAUCGGGAUGAAAUUUUUAAGGACUCAGCUGCCGGAAAUUCCGCCUGUUGAAGUUCCGGCGGUAAGAUGAAAAAGCGGGAUAAACAUAGUAGAGGCUCUUGAUCUGAUGUUUGGGCACGCGGGUUCGAAUCCCGCCACCUCCACCA
rnacentral:tmRNA from 1 species